rnacentral:lncRNA from 1 species
CUUAAUGGUUCUUUCUUCUCUGGUAUAAUACUUACUGCUCUUGCUUCUUUCAUGCAAAUAUGGAGUGAAUUUUCAGGAGCUUUACUUGUGGUUUGUAAUUUUAUCAAGUAACUUUUUCUUGACACACACACACUCUUGCUUCUUUCAUGCAAAUAUAGAGUGAAUUUUUUGGAGCUUUACUUGUGGUUUGUAAUUUUAUUGACUUUUUUUUAACAUACGCACACCCAACACCACACACACACACUCACACUCACACUCACACUCACACUCACACUCACACACACACACACACACUCACUUAUACACUCACACUCACACUCACACUCACACACUGACACUCACACUCACAUUCACACUCCCAUUCAUACACUCACUCACACUCGCACUCACACUUACACUCACACUCACUCACACACUUACACUCACAUUCACACUCGUUGAUAUAUACUACACAUGUUUGCGUGUUGUAUAUGGACUGAUGUCUAUAUAUAUACGAUAUGUAUAUAUUGAUAUAUUUAUGGGUGUAUAUAUACAGUUUCUUGCUAUCAAUUAUAUACAAUAAUCAUUGUAUACCCCUAUGCGUUGAUAAGUAUAUAUAUACUGUCUAUGAUACAUUCUAUAUACAUUGAUAUUUUUAACCACAUUGACAUUUAUUAGCGGUUCAUAUAUUUACAGUGUGUAUAUAUACGAUAUGUAUAUACUGAUAUGUUUAUGCGUGUAUGUAUAAACUUGUUGUCUGUUAUAUAUACACUGAUAGGCGUACGCACUUACACCCUUACGCAUUGAUAGUGCAUAUAUACAUUUUUAUAUACACUGAUAUAUAUGACCAUAUUGACACUUUUUAUCAGUUUAUACAUUUUUAUAUACACUGAUAUAUAUGACCAUAUUGACACUUUUUAUCAGUUUAUACAAUUAUUAGCGCAUAUGCACAUUGAUAUGUAUAUGAAUGCACAGGUGGCUAUUGCAGCUCAUAAGGUAAAUGAACAUAUCUCUAGUAAAGUGUUGCUCUUGUUUCUUUCAUGCAAAUAUGGAGCGAAUUUUUCUUUUAGAGUGAAUUUUCUGGAGAUUUACUUGUGGUUUGCAUCUUUAUUAAGUAACUUUUUCUUAACACACACUCUUUCUUCUUUCAUGCAAAUAGGGCGUGAAUUUUCUUGAGCUUUAUUUGUGGUUUGCAAUUUUAUUAAGUAACUUUUUCGUAACACACACACACACACACUCACACUCACAUUCACACACACUCACAGACUCACACACACACACACAUACACAUUGACACACUGACACACGCACACAUUGACACACUCACACCCACACACACUCUCAAACUAACAUUCACAUUGAUAUGUAUAUGAAUGCAUAGGUGGCUGUUGCAGCCAAGAAGGUAAAUGUACAGAUCCCCCCCCUCCCCUCCCCUCCUUUUUGAUUAUUUUAGAGAUUAUUUGUUUAGAUAUCACCUCUAAUCUGACAAGCCUACGCGAAUUUCCAUAUUACUUUGUAUGAUUUAGGCAUAAAAAUGGGUUUUUUCCCUUGAUGAAUCGAGUAUGCUAAAUACCCAAUUGUGAUAGUCCAUCUAAAUUUUUUAUCUUAUUUGUACUUGUUUUUAUUAUUAUUGAUGAGCUUCAUCUUCAUCGAGUUUGCUUGUAAAUCAACAAGCAUGGAAGCAACUUAUCAUCGAGGCGGAGCUCUUUACGUUCUUCGAUAUUUGCGAUCUUGGUCUUGCAAGCUUGAUUUGCUUAAUGGUUCUUUCUUCUUUAGUAUUGUACUGCACUUCCUUCUUUUAUGCAAAUAUGGAGUGAAUAAAAUUACAAACCACAAGUAAAGCUUCAAAAAAUGAACUUUUUCUUGACACACACACACUCUUGUGUCUUUCUUGAGUGAAUUUUUUAGAGCUUUACUUGUGGUUUGCAAUUUUAUUAACUUUUUCUUAACUGUACAGUACAUUAGUUAUCAACUACAUAUAUAAUUAUUAGUGUGUAAAAAAUACAUUUUUAUGUGUGUAUGUAUCUGUGUGAUGUCAGUAUAUAUACGAUGUGUAUAUACGGAUAUAUGUGUAUGUGUAAAGUACAUAACUGUAUAUAUACAAUGCACUAAUAUAUAUAUUUCUAUAUACCUUGAUGUAUAUUAUCAUUUUUACAUUUAUUAUCAGUUUAUAUAGUUAUUGACGUAUAUGUAUACUGAUUUAUAUAUUACAUACACAUACACUCACACUCACACUCACACUCGUACACACACUCACACUCACACUCACACUCACACACUUAUACUCACCCUCACACUCACACUCACACUCACACUCACACUCACACACACACACUGACAUACAUUGACCUUGAAACUGACACUGACACUGACACUCGCACAAACACACACGCACUCUCACUCACUCCUAUUCAAAGUCACACUCACACUUACUCAUCGAUAUAUAUACUACACAUAUGUGUUGUGUUUGGUAUGAUGUUUGUAUAUAUACGAUAUGUAUAUACUGAUAUAUUUAUGCGUGUAUAUAUAUAGUUGCUUGCUAUUAGUUUUGUACAUUGAUAAAUGCCUAUAUAUUUUGUAUGUUUACACUAAUACAUGCAGUUUAGAUGCACUAAUAUAUAUAUAACCAUAUAAACACUUAUUAGCUGGUUAUAUAUAUAUAUACAAUGUGUAUGUACAUACGAUAUGUAUAUACUGAUAUGUUUAUGCAUGUAUGUAUAAACUUGCUAUCACUGAUAUAUAGACUGCUAUGCGUACGUACAUGCACAUAUUCAUAUUGAUAGUGCAUACAUACAUUUCUAUAUACACUGAUAUAUAUGACCAUAUAAACACUUAUUAUCAAUUUAUAAUGUUAUUAGCGUAUAUGUUUAUAUAAAUGCAUACUCAUAAGCAUAUGUAUAAAAGGUUUUUUUAUAUACUAAUAUAUA